GCCGUCAGACAGCGUUACAGCACGCACUGAGAUGAGAAGGUCGUUGUUCCGGGCAGCUCCGUGAGAAGACGUCAUCCUGGGCGGCUGGGUCUGUUUUGGCCGGUGUGGACUGAUGUUUCAUGGGUGUGCUUCGGCACUGCCAAGACGCUGUCGGCUCAGUGGUUACCCCCGGAGGCCGAGCUGAGUACUGCAGGGUGCGUUCCUAAACGUGCUGGCAUGUUGGGGAAAUGUGUCGGCUAAUACUCACUAAGACUGCGGACACACUGGGAAAUUCUGGAGGGUUACUGCUGCUAGGUGUGUGUGGUGUCUGUGACCAGCAGAGGGAGCCGCUGAGCCGCCAGUGUUCAGCUCUGCAGACUGGAGUAAAGACGGUCCCUAAGCACUCGUCCCACUGUCGUAG